UCUUAUGCAUGAGCAAAGAAAGUGGUUUCUUGAUAUGGAGUCUACUCUUGGUGAAAAUGCUGGGAA
rnacentral:pre_miRNA from 1 species